rnacentral:tRNA from 2 species
UCCGGUGUAGUUCAGUUGGUGGAACGCUUGAUUGUUAAUCAAGAAGUCGCUGGUUCAAGUCCAGCCGCCGGAG